CACGUAGGGCGCAAGCGUUGUCCGGAAUUAUUGGGCCUAAAGCAUCCGUAGCCGGCCUUACAAGUCCUCCGUUAAAUCCAGCUGCUUAACAGAUGGGCUACGGAGGAUACUAUAAGACUAGGAGGCAGGAGAGGCAAGCGGUACUCAGUGGGUAGGGGUAAAAUCCGUUGAUCCAUUGAAGACCACCAGUGGCGAAGGCGGCUUGCCAGAAUGCGCUCGACGGUGAGGGAUGAAAGCUGGGGGAGCAAACCGG
rnacentral:rRNA from 1 species